GCUGGGCGUGGUGGUGCAUGCCUGUAAUCCCAGCUACUCGGGAGGCUGAGGCAGGAAAAUCACUUGAACCCGGGAGGCAGGGGUUGCAGUGAGCUGAGAUCAUGAGAUCACACCACUGCACUCCAGCCUGGGUGACAGAGUGAGACUCUGUCUCAA
rnacentral:SRP_RNA from 1 species